CAAGUCGAACGCAGUAGCAAUACUGAGUGGCAAACGGGUGAGUAUAAUGUGGGAAUCUGCCUUUUGGUUCGGAAUAACACGAGGAAACUCAAGCUAAUACCGGAUAAUCUCUGAGGAGGAAAGCUGGGGACCGCAAGGCCUGGCGCUUUAAGAUUAGCCUGCGUCCGAUUAGCUAGUUGGUGGGGUAAAGGCUUACCAAGGCGACGAUCGGUAGCUGGUCUGAGAGGAUGAUCAGCCACACUGGGACUGAGACACGGCCCAGACUCC
rnacentral:rRNA from 1 species